rnacentral:rRNA from 1 species
GAUGAACGCUGGCGGCGUGCCUAAUACAUGCAAGUCGAGCGAACCGAUUAAGAGCUUGCUCUUAAGAAGUUAGCGGCGGACGGGUGAGUAACACGUAGGUAACCUGCCUAUAAGACUGGGAUAACUCCGGGAAACCGGGGCUAAUACCGGAUAACAUUUUGCACCGCAUGGUGCGAAAUUGAAAGGCGGCUUCGGCUGUCACUUAUAGAUGGACCUGCGGCGCAUUAGCUAGUUGGUGAGGUAACGGCUCACCAAGGCGACGAUGCGUAGCCGCCCUGAGAGGGUGAGCGGCCCCACUGGGACGGAGACACGGCCCAGACUCCUACGGGAGGCAGCAGUAGGGAAUCUUCCGCAAUGGACGAAAGUCUGACGGAGCAACGCCGCGUGAGCGAUGAAGGCCUUCGGGUCGUAAAGCUCUGUUGUUAGGGAAGAACAAGUGCUAGUUGAAUAAGCUGGCACCUUGACGGUACCUAACCAGAAAGCCACGGCUAACUACGUGCCAGCAGCCGCAGUAACAC